AUUGAACGCUGGCGGCAGGCCUAACACAUGCAAGUCAAGCGGCACCGGGAAAGUAGCUUGCUACUUUUGCCGGCGAGCGGCGGACGGGUGAGUAAUGCCUGGGAAAUUGCCCAGUCGAGGGGGAUAACAGUUGGAAACGACUGCUAAUACCGCAUACGCCCUACGGGGGAAAGCAGGGGACCUUCGGGCCUUGCGCGAUUGGAUAUGCCCAGGUGGGAUUAGCUAGUUGGUGAGGUAAUGGCUCACCAAGGCGACGAUCCCUAGCUGGUCUGAGAGGAUGAUCAGCCACACUGGAACUGAGACACGGUCCAGACUCCUACGGGAGGCAGCAGUGGGGAAUAUUGCACAAUGGGGGAAACCCUGAUGCAGCCAUGCCGCGUGUGUGAAGAAGGCCUUCGGGUUGUAAAGCACUUUCAGCGAGGAGGAAAGGUUGAUGCCUAAUACGUAUCAACUGUGACGUUACUCGCAGAAGAAGCACCGGCUAACUCCGUGCCAGCCGCCGCCGUAAGAC
rnacentral:rRNA from 1 species